rnacentral:rRNA from 1 species
AUUUGAAAUCUGGCACCUUCGGUGUCCGAGUUGUAAUUUGAAGAUUGUAACCUUGGGGUUGGCUCUUGUCUAUGUUUCUUGGAACAGGACGUCACAGAGGGUGAGAAUCCCGUGCGAUGAGAUGCCCAAUCCUAUGUAAGGUGCUUUCGAAGAGUCGAGUUGUUUGGGAAUGCAGCUCUAAGUGGGUGGUAAAUUCCAUCUAAAGCUAAAUAUUGGCGAGAGACCGAUAGCGAACAAGUACAGUGAUGGAAAGAUGAAAAGAACUUUGAAAAGAGAGUGAAAAAGUACGUGAAAUUGUUGAAAGGGAAGGGUUUGAGAUCAGACUCGAUAUUUUGUGAGCCUUGCCUUCGUGGCGGGGUGACCCGCAGCUUAUCGGGCCAGCAUCGGUUUGGGCGGUAGGAUAAUGGCGUAGGAAUGUGACUUUGCUUCGGUGAAGUGUUAUAGCCUGCGUUGAUGCUGCCUGCCUAGACCGAGGACUGCGAUUUUAUCAAGGAUGCUGGCAUAAUGAUCCCAAACCGCCCGUCUUGAA